rnacentral:rRNA from 1 species
CGGGUGAGUAACGCGUGAGUAACCUGCCUUACACAAGGGGAUAGCCUUUGGAAACGAAGAAUAAUACCCUAUAAAACCAUAAAAGCACAUGCUAGAAUGGUCAAAGUGAUAGCGGUGUAAGAUGGACUUGCGUCUGAUUAGCUAGUUGGUGAGAUAAAAGCUCACCAAGGCAACGAUCAGUAGCCGGCUUGAGAGAGUGUACGGCCACAUUGGGACUGAGACACGGCCCAG